UCCUACGGGAGGCAGCAGUAGGGAAUAUUGGACAAUGGGCGCAAGCCUGAUCCAGCUAUAUCGCGUGAGUGAUGAAGGUCUUAGGAUUGUAAAGCUCUUUUAGUGGUGAAGAUAAUGACGGUAACCACAGAAAAAGUCCCGGCUAACUUCGUGCCAGCAGCCGCGGUAAUACGAGGGGGGCAAGCGUUGUUCGGAUUUACUGGGCGUAAAGGGUACGUAGGUGGCAUUGUAAGUUAAAGGUGAAAUCCCGGAGCUCAACUCCGGAACUGCUUUUAAUACUGCUUUGCUAGAGUUAAACAGAGGAUAGUAGAAUUCCUAGUGUAGAGGUGAUAUUCGUAAAUAUUAGGAGGAAUACCGGUGGCGUAGGCGGCUAUCUGGGUUUAUACUGACACUGAGGUACGAAAGCGUGGGGAGCAAACAGGAUUAGAUACCCUGGUAAUCC
rnacentral:rRNA from 1 species